GGUAAAUGAUGAUGACUGCUAUUUCUGACACCUCUUGUAUGAGAAUGACUUGGUUGUUCGCUGAGCAGAUUAGCAACUUUCUGAACC